rnacentral:rRNA from 1 species
GACGAACGCUGGCGGCGUGCUUUACACAUGCAAGUCGAACGGUGAAGGUGGAGCUUGCUCCGCCGGAUCAGUGGCGAACGGGUGAGUAACACGUGGGCAACCUGCCCCUAACUUUGGGAUAACUACUCGAAAGAGUAGCUAAUACCGGAUAUGAAGUCUGUAGGCAUCUAUGGAUUUGGAAAGUUUUUCGGUUAGGGAUGGGCCCGCGGCCUAUCAGCUUGUUGGUGAGGUAGUGGCUCACCAAGGCGACGACGGGUAGCCGGCCUGAGAGGGCGACCGGCCACACUGGGACUGAGACACGGCCCAGACUCCUACGGGAGGCAGCAGUGGGGAAUAUUGCGCAAUGGGCGAAAGCCUGACGCAGCAACGCCGCGUGCGGGAUGAAGGCCUUCGGGUUGUAAACCGCUUUCAGCAGGGAAGAAGCGAAAGUGACGGUACCUGCAGAAGAAGCACCGGCUAACUACGUGCCAGCCGCCGCGGUAA